rnacentral:pre_miRNA from 1 species
GGAGGUUGAGGUCCCGAUUAGGGGGCAGAAAGAGAACCCAAGGAAGACUGACUUGGAGGCCGCUCCUCUCUGUCCCCACAGGACUUUGGCCUGG